UCACCCUGAGCCCCUUAUUCAAUUGAUAAAGGUGAUGCAGCCAUCCUCACUUCUGAUUACUGUACAAGAGCUUUAUACUGUGGGAUGAGGAUGUGAAAUGCUUGCUAUUCCAGGAACCUCCAGAUUGAGAGGGAAGAGGAAACAGGCACAGGAACAACGAUGAAGUUGUAAGGACUGCAGUUCUUAGAGCUGGCCUUUAAGCAUUGACAAACACAUCAGCUAUUUGAAAAAGCAACCCCAGAACACAACAGCCAAACCAAACAGAUCCAGGAGGCUCAGCAUACCCAUUCUUCUCUUCUAGAAGCUCCCAAGUGCUCAUACACACCCAUUUGCAUUUAAAUCUGGUGACAUCCAAACGAAGAAAGCCCAGGAAGAAUCUCUAACGGUGAAGGCAGUGCAUGAAAGGAAGCAGAGCUGAGGAUAAAGCCAAGACAGAAAGAACCUCAGGAAACUGAGCCCCUGGAUUUAGUCACACAUGAAGCUAGCCUUACGCUUGGACUUCACCAAUCACAGGAGUCACUAUGUUUCCUAUGUUAGAAUCUAGUGCUGCCAUUUACUGGCUAUGUGACCUUGG